rnacentral:rRNA from 1 species
CGCGGCCUAUCAGCUUGUUGGUGGGGUAGUGGCUCACCAAGGCUUUGACGGGUAGCCGGCCUGAGAGGGUGACCGGCCACAUUGGGACUGAGAUACGGCCCAGACUCCUACGGGAGGCAGCAGUGGGGAAUAUUGCACAAUGGGUGGAAGCCUGAUGCAGCAACGCCGUGUGCGGGAUGACGGCCUUCGGGUUGUAAACCGCUUUCGCUCAUGACGAAGCUUUGUGUGACGGUAGUGGGUAAAGAAGCACCGGCUAACUACGUGCCAGCAGCCGCGGUGAUACGUAGGGUGCGAGCGUUGUCCGGAUUUAUUGGGCGUAAAGGGCUCGUAGGUGGUUGAUCGCGUCGGAAGUGUAAUCUUGGGGCUUAACCCUGAGCGUGCUUUUGAUACGGGUUGACUUGAGGAAGGUAGGGGAGAAUGGAAUUCCUGGUGGAGCGGUGGAAUGCGCAGAUAUCAGGAGGAACACCGGUGGCGAAGGCGGUUCUCUGGGCCUUUCCUGACGCUGAGGAGCGAAAGCGUGGGGAGCGAACAGGCUUAGAUACCCUGGUAGUCCACGCUGUAAACGGUGGGUACUAGGUGUGGGGUCCAUUCCACGGGUUCCGUGCCGUAGCUAACGCUUUAAGUACCCCGCCUGGGGAGUACGG